rnacentral:rRNA from 1 species
UACAGAGGUCUCAAGCGUUGUUCGGAUUCAUUGGGCGUAAAGGGUGCGUAGGCGGCGCGGUAAGUCGGGUGUGAAAUCUCGGGGCUUAACUCCGAAACUGCAUUCGAUACUGCCGUGCUUGAGGACUGGAGAGGAGACUGGAAUUUACGGUGUAGCGGUGAAAUGCGUAGAUAUCGUAAGGAAGACCAGUGGCGAAGGCGGGUCUCUGGACAGUUCCUGACGCUGAGACGCGAAAGCGUGGGGAGCGAACAGG